rnacentral:tRNA from 1 species
CAAAGGAUAGUUUAACUAAAAUGAUAAUUUUGGGUUUUAUUGAUAGAUUAUUUCUUCCUUUGA